rnacentral:lncRNA from 1 species
ACCAUAUCCAGUGCUUUGGAUGUCUCCUUGUCCUCAUUGUAUAAGCUCACGUAUUGCCUAAGGCAGAGAAGAUAAACAGUAAAGCUCACAUGUUGGAAACCAAAUAAAAGGUAUAACUAAACAUGCAGAGCACAUGCAUACCACACUGCCUACCAAGAGUUAGGUCACAGUAGUGGGCAUUCUAUUUCCGGGAUGAGCCCAAGGGAGUGGGAAGAGGGGCUGCAUACUCGCCUAUUCACCUGAAAGGCCAAAAAGUGGCCAAAAAGUGAGCAAUGGAACACAUCCUUUUGCCUUUCUUGAAUUUAGGGAUUGGGUUUGAUCCACCUCUGAAUGUGUAACCUUUUGAACCGUAAGUCAUGGACUCCAAGGGGGCAAUAGGUCGCUUUUGCUGACUCAUAAUGCCGUAUGAGGUGGGCUAAGUAGAAGUUUCUUGCCAUUUCUAUGCUUUGUCUGAUCUUCAUGGUCCCCAUUUGUAUUUGUACCAUUUGCAGCAAAAUUAGGUACUUGCAGUUGUCAGUUUGUCCACAUGAUUUGGAGGACCCUUCUGCCUACUUAAGGCCUAAUCCCCAUCAGCCACAUCACUCCUUAUCUAGUUCUUUGGCCGGGGUGCUGCUUUCCUUCAUUCUAGCUUCCUCCAUUUUCUUCUUCUUACUUGUUUCAGCCUCAUUUUCAGACAAAAUGUCAUCUGAAUCGUUGGAGGAAUCGAUGUCUUCGACAGUUUACGAUGAUAUAGAAGAAUUGGAAGUUACAGAAAUGGACGCUGCCCUUCUAAGAGAGUUACUAGAAGAAUCGGAGACCGAGGAGACCGGCGAUGACACAGCUGGGUAUAAAGUUGAGCCUCUAGAUUUGGAACCCCGAAUUGAUCAAAAUGUCGUGACAGAUGGCCGUGGCUGUGAUUGCUUGAAGCAAUAUGAGGCUCACAUCCAUGACUUCGAUAACUGGUUUGGUAUGAUGGAAAUGGCUCCCCCAUUGCCAAGUGAUGGUGUGAUGGACUGGUAUGUGGACACAAGUAUGGAUGAGAUGGUUGGGAUGAUAGAUUUUGGAGAUUGUUUGCAAUUCUACAAUGGAGUUUCCUCUGAUGAAACACCUUACAGUUGCUUGUGGCAGGACGACUAGUACUAAGUCCUAUGAUUCUGCCAUGUACCCCCUACUAUAUAUAUUUAUAUAACUAUAUAUAUGUUGCUGUCUUGGCCUAGCUGCCACCUUAAUUUAAUCUGCCAGCAUGAAAAUUUCGUUGCUGUUUGUUUAUAUUGAAGACCCUGCAGUGUCCGAGGAAGUCAAAAUGUUUUCUUUCCGUUUUUGAUUUUCCUUUUCUUCUUUCUAUAAGGUUGGACAAACUCCCAAGUAAGGCUUGAGUUCAAAUCAGGACAAUCCAAAUGAUGCCAUAUUGUUUCAAAUAGUGGCGAAGCCAGACAUUUUUAUUAGCACGCUGUGGCAGUGUCGGUAUUUCAGUUCCAUGGGCAUGCUCAUGUGGAAGAGUAACUUUCGUUACUAUAGUUUGAUGCUGGUAUACAUAAAUUGGUAAGAAAAUAAAUAACUAGAGAGACUUUUCAUUUUAAAAUACUGUUUGGUGAUUAAUAUGCUGUUGCAUGUAGACUUAAAAGCAAAAACAUAAGCUUAAUCAGAUGCUACAACAGAACUAAAAGGUGAGAGAAAAGUGCACAAUGAAGAAUUUAAACUAAGAAUUACAUGUUGGUUUCUUUAAAAGUAUAUGGCUUUGGUGUUCCCUUCUAGUUGUACAGUAGUGGUAAAGAUGACAAAGUUUGAUAUAAUUCACCAACAUGACUUGAAUCUAAUAAGUGUUUAGUAAGUUUGAUUGAGAAUAAUUAGGGGUGAUAAAGUUUGAUACGAUUUGUUAAUACGACUUUAACCUAGUAAGUGUUUCACAACUUUGGGUUGAAUAUAAUUAGGGAUGACAAAGUUUGAUACCAUUCACUCACAUGGCUUAAAGCUAAUAAGCAUUUCAUGGGUUUAGGUUGAGUAUAAUUAGGAGUGACAAAGUUUAAGACGAUUUACCAAAUUCAAACCUAAUAUGUUUUCACAAGUUUGGGUUAAAUAUAAUUAGGUUUGGGUCAAAUUUGUGUCAUCUUGUAUGAUCCAUUUAGUAAAUAAAUAAUUUUUGGGCCAACUCGCAUGACACGAAACUAACCUAAAUUGACUCAUUUAAUAAUUCCUCUAAUUAACCUAAUUAUAACUUCAAACUAUUUAACCCAUAUUUUACUCAUUUUAAAUUCAUUUUUAAAUAAGUAGGUCAAUUGUAUUAUAAACAUGUUUGAUUAAGACAUUAAUCAUAUAGAAUUUAUAUAAGACUUAACUUAAUUAUUAAAUAGGAGGAUUUGAUUAUUAAAUGGGUUAAUUGGAUUACAUAAUGUGUUACUUGUUUAAUAAUUAAGUAGUAUUUGAAUUUAUAUUUUUGACAUUAUUAUUAUUCAUAUUGUGUUUAAAUUGACCUAUAUAGUAGAACACCUAAACUUUGACAUGACACAAAUAUCAUCUACUAACAUAAAUUGCUACCCUUAUAAUUGGGUUUGGAUCAAAUCCAUGUCGACUUACAUUUUCUAUUUAACAAAUAGGUAGUUUUUAGGUCAACUUGUAUGAUAAAGUUUUGACUCGAAUUGAUCCAUUUAAAAAUCCCACUGAUUAAACUAAUAGCUUUAAACCAUUUAACUUAUAUUUGACUCAUUUUAAAUAUAUUUUUAAAUAAAUAGAUCAAUUGAAUCAUAAUUAUGUUUGGUUAAGACCUUAAUCAUAUAGAAUUAUACAAGACCUAACUCAAUGUGAUUAUUAAAUAAAAGAACUUGAUUAUUACAUGGGUUAAAUAAGUUACAAGAUCGAGGUGUUAAUUGUUUAACAAUUAGGUAGUAUUUGAGUUUAUAUUUUUAACGCAAUUAUUAUUCAUGUCGAGUUUGGAUUUACCUAUGUAGUAGAAUACCUAAGCUUUGAUACAACGCGACUACGACUCAUCAACAUGAAUUGUCAUCCCUAACAUAAUUGGGUUUGGGUCAAAUUCAUAUCGACUUGCAUAACCCAUUCAAUAAAUAAAUAUAGUUUUUUGGGUGAACCUAUAUGACACAAAUUUAACCUGAGUUAGCCCAUUUAAUAAACCUUUUGAUUAACCUAAUUAUAACUUUAAACAAUUUAACUCACAUUUGACUCAUUUUAAGUCCAUCUUUAAAUAAAUAGGUUAAUUGAAUCAUAAAUAUGUUUGGUUGAGACAUUAACCGUGCAUAUAGAGUUAUAAAAGACCUAAUUCAACUUGAUUAUUAAACCAAAUGACUUAAUUAUUAAAUGGUUACACAACAUGUUAUUUGUUUAGUAAUUAGAUAGUAUUUGGGUAUAUAUUUUUUACACGAUUAUUAUUUGUGUAAGAUUUGGGUUAACUUAUGUAGUAUAAUACUUAGAUUUUGACAUGACACGACCAUGACCUACCAACGUGAAUUGCUACCCAUAAUUAUGGUUGGGUCAAAUUGUGUUGACUUGCAUACCCAAUUAAUUAAUAUGUAGUUUUUGGGUCAAUCAACCUACAUGAUACAAAUUUGACCUAAAUCGAUCCACUUAUUAAUCUCGCUGAUUAACCUAAUUAUAACUUUAAACUAUUUAACUCAUAUUUUACUCAUUUUAAUUUUUUUUAGUAAAUAGGUCAAUUAAAUCAUAAAUAUGUUUGGUUGAGAUAUUAACCAUAUAGAAUUAUAUAAGACUUAACUCGACUUAAUUAUUAAAUAGGAGGACUUGAUUAUUAAAUAGGUAAAAUGGGUUGUAUGAUAUGUCACAUAUUUAAUAAUUAGAUAAUACUUAGUUUUAUAUUUUUUACAUGAUUAUUAUUCGUGUUGGGUUAUGGGUUGACAUAUGUAGUAGAACACUUGGGCUUUGACAUGAUACAAACAUGACUUAUCAACACAAAUUGCCAUUUAUAAUUGGGUAUAGGUUAAAUUCGUGUCAACUUGCAUAAUCUAUUUAAUAAAGAGGUAGUUUUUAGGUUACCCUGCAUAACAUGAAUUUGACCUAAAUUGACACAUUCAAUAAACGUGUUGAUUAACCUAAUUACAACUUUAAACUAUUUAACUUAUAUUUGACUCAUUUUAAAUUUAUUUUCAAAUAAAUAGAUCAAUUGAAUCAUUGAUAUGUUUAGUUGAGAUAUUAAUCGUAUAGAACUAUAUAUGACAUAACUCAACUUGAUUAUUAAAUAGGAUAAAUGAGUUACAUGACAUGUUACUUGUUUAAUAAUUAGGUAGUAUUUGAGUUUAUAUUUUUGACACGAUUAUUAUUUGUGUUGUAUUUGGGUUGAAUACAAAGGCUUUGACAUGACAUGAACACGGCCUAAACAUCUACUUUUUUAUGUCUUUUAUCCAAAAAUUUGGUAUUAUAAGAUUUAUGGAUGAAUUAAAAAUUAAAGAAAUGCAUUCAUGAUAAGUAGUAUAGAUAAUGAAUGAAAGAAUAUGAUGAUUUAUUUGAAGCAAAAAUAGAUAAUUAAUUAUUAGUAUAUUUUCUUUUUUCUAUUUCCUUGAGGAUCAAUUUCCGAAAAAUCAUAUAAACUCGCGUUUUUCUUUAAACACAUAUACUAAUAUUUAUUUAUUUAUUUAUUUUGUCGUUUCUGCUUCCUUCAUUGCUAAAUGCAAAGGUUUAGAAUCCAAAUAGGCCUUUAAAAGGAUUUUGAUUUUUUUUUUAUUUUUUUGAGAAUUUUUAAAAUUAUGAUAAUUUUAAAAAUAUUUUCAAACUUAAUAUAAUAGUAAAAGUUAUCUUUAAAAAAAAACGAAUUUUGGUUUAAAUAUUAAAUUUUAAAAUUAUUAUUUAUAGAAAUAACUUUAAAGUUUAAAAUUUAGGUUGAAAUUAUUUUUGUAAUAGACAAUUUGAGUACAAUUAUGGUAUAUUAAUUGAACUUUUUUUGAAAAAUAAUUUUAGUGUACAUUUUUAAAUUUAAAAUUCAAAAAAUUCAAUUCUUAAAUUAAAUUACCCUUCAAAAAAUAACUUAUUAUUGAUUUUAAAAACCAUAUAUUUGAAAAUUGGUCUUCAUCUACUAUAAUUUAAAUUAUUAUGAGUUUGUUUGAUUAAAAACAGUUUUUUAUUUUUAAAAAUAAAAGAAAAAUAUCAACUUAUUUUAUUAUAUUUUCUAAAACUUAUUUUUAAAAUUUAUUUUUUAUUUUUUAACUUAAAAAUAAUUUUUAAAAACAAAUCGCUGUUUUCCGUGUUUUAUAACAGCAAUUUCACAUACUGAAGAGAGACCGAAAAAGCAAGUCAACCUAUUGUGAUUAUAAAGUCAACACUCACCUUCAUACCGCCGCCAGUCCCCGCGCUACCAGUCAUGGUGUGUAGAAAUCCGCCACCGCCAAAACCAUCGCCGCCAAUCAACCCUCACCACGGCCGUUGUUCAUCAUUACAAAACGUUAUUCCUCUUUCCAGACUAAUCAGAGGAGGCCUUGGAUGCCAUCAGCGUUACUGUGGGUCUGACCAAAUGUUGUGGCUCCUCUCCACCGGCGUUCGAGAGAGAAAAUCUUACCAUGGAAGGCGGCUAUAUUGUAGCUUUGCUCCCACUUGUGGGUGUCUCUUUCUCGGGAGGAGUGGAAAUUAAAUUAUUGGAUGUGACUUUUCAAGGAUAUUUAAUAAUACAAAUAUGAUGUUAUUUAUCACUUAUCUUGUCAAAAAAAAAAACCACAAGCAAAUGAAUCCUAACUUUCAUUUAAAGCAAAAUAGUAUCCAUGAUUUUAAAGAAUUUAUAAUUUUUGAAUUACACUUUUGUGGGGAGCCCCUAUAUCCAGUGUCCUUGACUCUCUCCGGUCAGACUUUUCUCAAUAGUACAGUAAUUUAAAAAAAUUAUGCUUAAAUUAUUAUAGUAGAAAAAGUUAUUACAAAUAUAUGGUAGUUUUUACCACAUAGAAGAGAGGAGAAAGGAGAUAGGAGAGAGGAGAGAGGAGAGAGGAGAGAGGGUGAACGGAUAAAUUUUUUUAAAAAAGAGAACUCGUCUCUUCAAGAGACGAGUUCCAUAAAAAAAUAUAUAUAUAUAUUUUUUUAAGAAAAUUCCCCAUUUACUUAAGGGAACUCGUCUCUUCAAGAGACGAGUUCCAUGAAAAAAAAUAUAUAUAUAUUUUUAAAAAAUUCACAAAUUUAAAAAAAAAAAAAACAAUUUGGAACUAAAGGGAACUCGUCUCUUCAAGAGAUGAGUUCCCAUGGGAAAAAAAAAUAUUUUUUUAAAAUAUAUUUUUUAUUUUUAAAAAAAUCUCAAAUUAAAAAAAAAGAAAAAAAAAAUCCUAAAGAGACGAGUUCCCAUGUAAAAAAAAAAUAUAUUUUUUUUUAAAAUAUAUAUAUUUAAAAACAAAAAAAUUCCUACUUCAGACGAGUUCCAUGGGAAAAAAAAUAUUUUUUUUUUAAAAUAUAUUUUUUAUUUAAAAAAAUCCCAAAUUAAAAAUUCCUAAAGGGAACUCGUCUCUUGAAGAGACGAGUUCCCUUUGGGAAAAAAAAUAUAUUUUUUUUAAAAUAUAUUUUUUAUUUAAAAAAAUCCCAAAUUAAAGAAAAAAAAAAAAAAAAGACAAUUCCAAAGGGAACUUGUCUCUUCAAGAGAUGAGUUCCCAUGUAAAAAAAUAUAUAUAUUUUUUUUAAAAUAUAUAUUUUUUUUAAAAUAUAUAUUUUUUUUAAAAUAUAUAUUUUUUUUAAAAUAUAUAUUUAAAAAAAAAAAAGACGAGUUCCCAUGUAAAAAAAUUUUUUUUUAAAAAAAAUAUAUAUAUUUAUAAAAAAAAAAAUUCCUAAUUAAAAUCUAUAUAUUAAAAAAAAAAAAACAAUUCCUCAAAAUUCCUAAAGGAACUCGUCUCUUUAAGAGACAAGUUCCCAUGUAAAAAAAAUAUAUAUAUUUUUAAAAUAUAUAUAUUUUAAAAAAAAAAUUCCUAAAGGGAACUCAAGAGACGAGUUCCCAUGGGAAAAAAAAUAUAUAUUUUUUAAAAUAUAUUUUUUAUUUAAAAAAAAUCCCAAAUUAAAAAAAAAAAAAGAAUAAAGGGAACUCGUCUCUUCAAGAGACGAGUUCUCUUUGGGAAAUUUUUUUUUUUUUUUAAAUAUAUUUUUUAUUUAAAAAAAUCCCAAAUUAAAAAAAAAAAAAAAAACACAAUUCCAAAGGGAACUCGUCUCUUGAAGAGAUGAGUUCCCAUGUAAAAAAAAAUAUUUUUUUUAAAAAUAUAUAUAUUAAAAAAAAAACAAUUCCUCAAAGGAACUCGUCUCUUGAAGAGACGAGUUCCCAUGUAAAAUUUUUUUUUUUUUUUUAAUAUAUUUUUUAUUUAAAAAAAUCCUAAAUUAAAAAAAAAAAAAAAAAAAAAAAAAAAAAAAACCCAUUUCCAAGGGGAACCCCCCUCUUCAAGAAACAAUUUCCCAUGUAAAAAAAAUAUUUUUUAAAAAAAUAUAUUUUUUUUAAAAAAAAAAAAAACAUCUCUUCAAAAUCCCAAAGGGGAACCCCUCCCUGGAAAAAAAAAUUCCCCAGGAAAAAAAAAAAAUUUUUUUCAAAAAAAUAUAUUUUUUUUUAAAAAAAAAAAACCUUUCCCAAAGGGGGAAUCCCAGAAGACAAAUUUCCCCGUGGGGAAAAAAAAAAAAAAUUUUUUUUUAAAAAAAUUAUUUUUAUAUUUAAAAAANNNNNNNNNNNNNNNNNNNNNNNNNNNNNNNNNNNNNNNNNNNNNNNNNNNNNNNNNNNNNNNNNNNNNNNNNNNNNNNNNNNNNNNNNNNNNNNNNNNNAAAAAAAAAUUUUUUUUUUAAAAAUAAUAUUAUUUAAAAAAAAACAAUUCCUCAAAGGAAAUCCUUUUUUGAAAGGAAGGGUUCCCAAGGAAAAAUUUUUUUUUUUUUUUAAAAAAUUUUUUAUUUAAAAAAAUCCUAAAUUAAAAAAAAAAAAAAAAAAAAAAAAAAAAAAAAACCAAUUCCAAAGGGAACUCGUCUCUUCAAGAGACGAGUUUCCAUGUUAAAAAAAUAUUUUUUAAAAAAAUAUAUAUAUAUUAAAAAAAAAAAAAACAAUUCUUCAAAAUUCCUAAAGGGAACUCGUCUCUUGAAGAGAAGAGUUCCCAUGUAAAAAAUAAUAUCUUUUUCAAAAAAUAUAUAUAUAUUUAAAAAAAAAAAAACUUUCCUAAAGGGAACUCAAGAGACGAGUUCCCAUGGGAAAAAAAUAUAUAUUUUUUUUAAAAUAUAUUUUUUAUUUAAAAAAAAUCCCAAAUAAAAAAUAAAUAAAUAAAUAAAUAAAACAAUUCCAAAGGGAACUCGUCUCUUCAAGAGACGAGUUCCCAUGUAAAUUUUUUUUUUUUUUAAAUAUAUAUAUUAAAAAAAAAAAAAAAAAAAAACAAUUCCUCAAAAUUCCAAAAGAAACUCCUCUCUUCAAGAGACGAUUUCCCUUUAGAAAAUUUUUUUUUUAAAAAAAAAAAUAUAUAUAUAUAUAUUUUUAAAAAUAUCUUUUUUUNUACCUGGGAACUCGUCUCUUGGGGACUCUCGUGCCCACUGGGGGGGGGUCGGGNNNNNNNNNNNNNNNNNNNNNNNNNNNNNNNNNNNNNNNNNNNNNNNNNNNNNNNNNNNNNNNNNNNNNNNNNNNNNNNNNNNNNNNNNNNNNNNNNNNNAAAAAAUAUUUAUUUUAAAAAAAUAUAUAUAUAUUUAAAAAAAAAAAAAAUUCCUAAAGGGAACUCGUCUCUUCAAGAGACUGAAGAGACAAGUUCCCUUUGGAAUUUUUUUUUUUUUAAUUUGGGAUUUUUUUAAAUAAAAAAUAUUUUAAAAAAAAAUAUUUUUUUUCCCAUGGGAACUCGUCUCUUCGAUUUUUUUUUUUUUUUAAUUGGAGAUUUUUUUUAAAUAAAAAAUAUAUUUAAAUUUUUUUUUUUCCUAUGGGAACUCGUUUUUUCAGGAGACGAGUUCCCUUUAGGAAAUUUUUUUUUUUUGGAUUUUUUUUUAAACAAAAAAUAUAUUUAAAAAAAAAAAUAUUUUUUUUCCCAUGGAACUCGUCUCUUGAAGUCAAGAGACGAGUUACCUUUAGGAAUUUUUUUUUUUAAAUAUAUAUUUUUAAAAAAAAUAUAUACUUUUUUUUACAUGGGAACUCGUCUCUUGAAGAGACGAGUUCCCUUUAGGAUUUUUUUUUUUUUUAAUUUGGGAUUUUUUUUAAAAUAAAAAAUAUAUUUAAAAAAAAAAUUUCCCAAAGAGACGAGUCCCCUUUAGGAAUUUUUUUUUUAAAUUUAAUUUAGGAUUUUUUUAAAUAAAAAAUAUAUUUAAAAAAAUAUAUUUUUUUUCCCUGGGAACUUGUCUUUCCCUUGUCUUUUUUCAUGGAACUCGUCUGAAGAGACGAGUUCCCUUGAGUAAAUAGGAAUUUUUUUAAAAAAAUAUAUAUAUUUUUUUUCAUGGAACUCGUCUCUUCAAGAGAUGAGUUCCCUUUUUUAAAAAAAUUUAUCCGUUCACCCUCUCUCCUAUCUCCUCUCUCCUCUCUCACCCUCUCUCCUCUCUCCUCUCUCCUCUCUCCUAUGUGGCAAAAACUACCAUAUAUUUGUAAUAACUUCUUCUACUACAAUAAUUUAAGCAUAACUUUUUUAAAUUACUGUACUAUUGAGAAAAGUCCCUCUCCGGUCUGAAUGAUCAUUUUCAGUCGUAUGUCCCAAUGGUGACUAAUCCAUCCCAUAGUGGGUCACAUGGAUAAAUCUUAUACGGAUACAAUAAGACUAGCGUACAACUAUCCUUCACGCAUUUACUCAGUUAUUAAUGCACAAAUUACAUGUUAGACAUGUUUUAUGUUAAAUACAGUCGUUAUCGGAAAACAUUUCAUUCUUAGCAUCUCAUCAAUGCAAGACAUUUGUUAUGCAUUGGCAGUCAAUGUCAUAAUAUCGCAUAAUCAAACACAAUUAAGGUG